AGAACGAACGCUGGCGGCGCGUCUAAGCAUGCAAGUCGAGCGGGAUACCUAGCUUGCUAGGUAUGAGAGCGGCGGACUGGUGAGUAACGCGUGGGUGACGUACCCUCCGGACGGGGAUAGCUCCUAGAAAUAGGAGGUAAUACCGGAUACGGUGCACUGUGUCAGAGGCAGUGCAGGAAAGGUUCUUUGAACCGCCGGAGGAGCGGCCCGCGUACCAUUAGCUAGUUGGUGAGGUAACGGCCCACCAAGGCGACGAUGGUUAUCCGGCCUGAGAGGGUGAACGGACACAUUGGGACUGAGAUACGGCCCAGACUCCUACGGGAGGCAGCAGCUAAGAAUAUUCCGCAAUGGGGGAAACCCUGACGGAGCGACGCCGCGUGGAUGAUGAAGGCCGGAAGGUUGUAAAAUCCUUUUAUACGUGAGGAAUAAGGAGAAUGAGAGAAACGUUUUCCGGUGACUGUAGCGUAUGAAUAAGCAACGGCUAAUUACGUGCCAGCCGCGGC
rnacentral:rRNA from 1 species